rnacentral:rRNA from 1 species
GACGUAGGGUACGAGCGUUGUCCGGAUUUAUUGGGCGUAAAGAGCUCGUAGGCGGCUCGUUGCGUCGGCUGUGAAAACCCGCGGCUUAACCGUGGGCUUGCAGCCGAUACGGGCGGGCUGGAGUUCGGUAGGGGAGACUGGAAUUCCUGGUGUAGCGGUGAAAUGCGCAGAUAUCAGGAGGAACACCGGUGGCGAAGGCGGGUCUCUGGGCCGAUACUGACGCUGAGGAGCGAAAGCGUGGGGAGCGAACAGG